AGUGGUGGGAGAAAACGACCUAUAUUUAUAGACGUUGGCACCAAAAGCGCCUGCCAAUCAGCGCUACCGCAGUGAGUGCCCGGUCCAAUCAGGGCAUAGCAGCCAAAUGCUCGAAGUGCUCGAAGUAUAAAAACUAGUUUUCCCUGCGCGCACGCUCAGUUCCGUCUUGGAAGUCAUCGAGGUAACAUCUAUGUCGCUUGAAGAAAUUUUUUUUUUUGAGAAUUUUCAAUUUAGCAAGCACUGAAUUCCCCCACUUUUUUGCAGUAGAAGAGAAGAAUUCAAGGUCAAAAGAAAAAAGAAGACCUUUUUAACAUCAAGAUGUUGGACAAUGCAGCUGGGAUUGAGAAACGCAUGGAAUUAGCGCGUAUGCAUGCCGAUAAUGAUCUCGAAGCAUCAACUAAUCCCGGGAGCAUCUUAACCUUGGAUGUGCUUCGGUUCCUAGGUGGCAUUUCAUCUGCACAUCGACCAAGGGUUAUCUGCACUAUUAUUAGAGGAACCAGAGGAAACUAUAGUCCAUGUUUUCUCACUCUGAUGGAUUCAACUUGAAACUUCUUUCAUGCUGCAAGGGGUCAAGUGCUGAGUGUCAGGAAUUCUGAUUAGAUUCUAUACUCGAUGGUUUGUGGUGUCCUGAAAAGAGAAGAGCGAAAGUAAAAAAAAAAGGGUAUCUUGAAGAAUAGAGAAAUCUCCAAAAUUCUUCAAUUGCUGCGGACUUUUUAGAACUCGGUCUAUUUUUACGGUUAUUUUUCACAUUUUCCGAAUGGAAAUUUAACUUGAAAGUAGGGAUCUCCGAGGGCUAUUUAGUUUGCAAGAAUCUUCGUGAUGCUGAGAAUUUCUUAUUAAGAUAUAAUAUGUUACCUUCUUAUGCCUCGAGAAAAUUAAUCAACGUUUAUAAGAUUAUACUGCGUUUAUGGGAUCUCCGUGUAUAUAUGUGUAGUGUGUGUUAAUGUUUUUUUAUAGUUCGUGAGUGAUAAUUUAAAAAAAAAGUGAAUUUUUUUCCGAGUUAAUAUUAUAUAGUGUCAAAGUGAAUUUCUGCAUAUAUCAAUCAACAUAAUCAAGGAUUCAAAAGCAGUGUGUGUGUGUAUCUUCGAUAUCGGUGUUUUUUGUUUCUUGAAGAAAAGGUGUUUGUUCCAGAGCUACUACAGAUGUCUAUUGCUGAAGCAGUUCAAUGU